GCAUUUGACAACUUGGAUUUUGCAAAAUGGUUGAAGAAUAAGUCAUUGUUGUAUCUUUUCUUAAUAAAAGCAUUCGAUGAUUACCGAUUUUGGCAUAUUGCAUAUUGCCAAGGGAGAUGUUUACUGAGGAUUCCAUGCCAUUAAUGUGCAGGCUGUUGCUGACGCCAGAAUGAGCAAUAUCUGAGCACCAAUGAUGAGGGUAAUCUGCUGGGAGAUAGUGGGUAUCCGUUAAGGACUAACCUGAUGACCCCUUAACCUCAUCCCUCCCAUGCUGCGGAACAGGCCUACAAUGACCAUCUAUGUAGAGGGUGGGUAGUAGAAAGGGCAUUUGGAGUGUUGAAAUCACGAGAUUGGUAACAUAUUAUAUAGGUUGUGAAAUAUAAGUCUUAUUAGUGCGAGAUCAACUUACCACACAGUAUUUAAAUGAAGUAUUAGUGCCAAUC